AUGCAGAGCCCAAGGAUGCAAACCAAACCAAAGGCCCAGUUAGGUCGGCCCAAAUUAAGUAACACAGUCUACUCGGCCGGCGAAGGCGGUGGGCACUCUCCCCUCUCUGCUCGCCAGUCGCCGCCUCCGGCCUCGUCGCCGCCCACCAGCUCCGGCCGCACGCCUGCACCCCUCACCAGCGUCGCCUACCGCGUUAGUCGACUCGGUGAAGCCAGUUCCGUUCGCCACCUCCGAUCUCGUCGCCGUCCAUCCGUUCCGGCCGCACGCCUGCGCACCUCACCAGCCUUCGCCUCCGUGACAGAGUCUGACGCCUCAGUGAUGCCGCCAAAGGUGACCAUUGCCGCCUCCAACGAUGCCGUGCUGCCUGAAGACAUGCUGCACCACAUCCUCGUGCGCCUCCCGGCGAAGACGCUAUGCCUCUUCCGAGCAGUCUGCCCAUCCUGGAGGUCCCUCCUCUCGGAUCCGCUCUUCGUUGCAGCGCACAAGUCCCAUCACCCCGAGCCACUAAUCGUCACAUGUAACUGUGAGAUGUUUGAAAGAGGCACCAUUAACAUUAUGGACUUGUCUGGCCAUGUUGUUAAGCGGAUAGCCACCACCAUGAAGAAUGCCAGGAUGGUGCGCACACGCCGGCUGGACCUUAUUUGUGUCACCGGACAUAAGGGCCGCCAUGUGAUCAACCCUGUCACGGGCGAUACUUUUGCAUUGCCCAGUUGCCGCGCAAAGGAGCAUGCACAUGUGCAACAUUUCUUUCCAGAAUCAUUUGACUUGGGACAGGUUGUCACCACGGGAGAAUACAAGGCCCUACGCUGUGUUAGCAUCGAUAAUUCUGAUCAUGAGUCCAGCCCGAUGCUCUGUGAGGUCAUCACCCUUGAUGAUGGUCGCAAUGCAAGAUGGAGGGGCAAACAGGGCCCUCCGCCCCCUGUCACAAGUAACCGUAACAGAAGUAUUGUUGUCAAAGGAGUCGUUUAUUUCUUGUUGGAUUUUCUAUACAAACGUUUUACGUUUUCUGGGGUCCGUGUCAAACCGGGUAGCAUGGCUUUGUUCAACCUUGAGACAGAGGAGUGGAUGGGGAUUGUCCAAGGACCAAAGCCAGUGCGCAGCUUUGUUAAGGACAGCAAUGGCAGGUGCGGUUACUUUAGUCUAUACUUGGAGCUAUCACCGGUAAAUUUGGAUGGGUUCUUAGUUAUGGCACACAAUCCUGAAGGUUGCUCUUUGGACUUGUGGUUUUUGAUGGAUAGUGAGAAAUGUCUCUGGAAUAAAAGCUACAGCUUAGAUUUCCAACCUGAAAAUCUCUUUGCUCAACCCUUGGAAAUUCUAAAUGACGGGAAGAUAGUUCUCUCUGCACCAGGAUCACUAAGACUAUAUAAUCCGGUUACCAAGACUUACAUUGAUUUUGGGAUGAGAAAUUCCACAUCUGUUGGUACUUACACUGGAAGUCUGUUGUCUUCAGAGAGCACCUUCACUUCUGAGGCUCCGUUCGGCAGCUCUCCAGCUUCCAGCUUCCGCGAGGAGCUGCGUGCGUUCGGAAGGCUGUGGCUGCUUCUCUUCAUGCUGCAUGGGCUGGCGCUGGUGGCUGGUUUGUACAGCAGCUCGGGAUAA
rnacentral:rRNA from 1 species